UAGCAGGUUCUUAGCUUGAUUAUAUCUUGUGAUUUAAGGUAACAUUAUUGCUUGGCUAAUUAUUCCUCUUCUUCAAUCAUCGCCACCACAAACCUAGCUUCAAAAGAUUGUCUUCAAGUUGCACAGGAUCUGUCAUGUUCCUUCAUGCCACCAAUUUCAUGUUCCACCCUUUCGCUCAUCAAAUUGCUAUUCAAUUUCUCAGAUGCAAAUGUGAAGAACACUUUUAAAUACAUGAUCAACAAUCGCUUCUCGAGUGGGAAUUACUCGCGUGAUGAAGAGAGGAAAAGUGAUGACCUUUUGUAUUGGUGUCAUGGAGCACCUGGAGUAGCCCUCAUAUUAGUCAAAGCUGCUGAGGUACUAAAAGGUGUCAUCUUUGAGGGGAUUAUCCAUCUUUUUUA